AUUGAACGCUGGCGGCAGGCCUAACACAUGCAAGUCGAGCGAGCGGCGGACGGGUGAGUAAUGUCUGGGAAACUGCCUGAUGGAGGGGGAUAACUACUGGAAACGGUAGCUAAUACCGCAUACCAUCAGAUGUGCCCAGAUGGGAUUAGCUAGUAGGUGGGGUAACGGCUCACCUAGGCGACGAUCCCUAGCUGGUCUGAGAGGAUGACCAGGCACACCGGAACUGGACACCGGUCCCGCCUCCUACGGGAGGCAGCAGUGGGGAAUAGUGCACAAUGGGCCCAAGCCUUAUGGAGCCAUGCCGGGGGGUGGAAGAAGGGCUUCGGGUUUUAAAGCACUUUCCGCGGGGAGGCGUUACCCGCAGAAGAAGCACCGGCUAACCCCGUUCCAGCCGCCGCGGUAAUUC
rnacentral:rRNA from 1 species